rnacentral:lncRNA from 1 species
GAAUAUCUAUGUGUAUGUAAAUAUAUGUCUAUGUGAAAAGGUAUAUUAAUUAUAAUGAGGUGUUGCUUGUGUUAGUUCUAUUGAUGUGGUUAUUUAUGCCUUGUUGAAAUAUAUGUCAUUUGGAUGAGUAUUAUUGUGAUGUCUAAGUUGAGCUAAUUGUGACUUAUUUGAUGUUCUAAGCCAAAGAAAUUUUGCUUGAUUGGUGAAAUUGUGCCGUAGUAGUGAUUGUGUGUCUUAAUGGUGAUUGUAUGCAUUACACUACCAGAAGAAAGGUUUUAGCCGACAAAAAUAAAAAACCAGGCCGACGAAUUAUUUUUUCGUCGGCUAAAGUCCACUUUAGCGGACGAAAUUUCCUUUCGUCGGCUGAAAUUUCUUUUCGUCGGCUAUGGUCAACUUUAGCCGACGAAAUUAAAAUUUCGUCGUCUGAAUAAUUUUUUUCUUCGGCUAUAGUCUGUGAACUUUAGCCGAUGAAAUUUUUAAAAGUUUAGCCGACGAAAAAUAUAAUUUCGUCGGCUAAAGCAUUUAAAUAUCUACAGAUCUGGACAACAACUCAUCUGAAAAAAAAACUAUACGUAGAACCUUCAAACGCAAAAAUGUUGUGAAAUAAGAUAUGACCAGAAUGGUGAAAUACGUCUACGGUUGAAAAAUCACGGUAUUCCGGUAAAGUCUUGGUGCCGAUAGUUGCGGUCAAUGCAAUUUACCCUUAUUAUUCACUAUGCUGCAGAUUUGGUUUUUGGUGUCUGAUUGACUAUUGUGAUACCUUUCCGGAAGCGUAACGGCCCUACGAGUCAAACUCAUCGCUAUGCCAUGAUGUAUGGGCCUUUUUGGCCAUCCGAGUUCGUUUAGGGCUUCAAAAUGCAGUUUUCUUAUUUCCGACUAGAGUUGACCGUUUCGAUCGAGCCCUUAACGUUGUCGAAUCCAGUUGAAUUUUUUACCAUAGACAUCUUUCGUCAUAAUGAUCAUAUCUAACGGUCGAAUUUUGGUUUGUAAAUUUUAGUCAUCGGAAUCACAACGUGUCUACUAUUUACCGUUAUUAUUCCCUAUGGGGAGCCCUAUCGUCGGAAGGUAAAUGUCUCAAAAUUUUUAUAUGGGCAGUUGCGGCUCAUCUACAUGAGAGUUUUUCGUGAGGAAGAUUUGAUCAAACUAUGUAAUAUAGAGGGAGAUAUGAGCGUUUUCGUGUGAUAAGUGACGAUGGAUAAGGGUUGACCGUUUCGAUCGAGCCCUUAACGUUGUCGGAUCCAGUUGAAUUUUUUACCAUAGACAUCUUUCGUCAUAAUGAUCAUAUCUGACGGUCGAAUUUUGGUUUGUAAAUUUUAGUCAUCAGAAUCACAGCGUGUCUACUAAUGUUGUAUAACUUGUUUAGUAGGUUAUACAACUUUGUGAACCAACUCUACAUAGGAAGCAAAAUUAUCAAAAAUCUCGUGAAAUAAGAUGUGUUCAGAAUGGUGAAAUACAGCUAUGGUUCAAAAAUCACAUAAAUCAGAUAAAGUCUCGGUGCCGAUAGUAGCGGUCAACCCUAUUUAGCGUUAUUAUUCCCUAUGGGGAGCCCUAUCGUCGGAAGGUAAAUGUCUCAAAAUUUUAUAUAUGGAUAAGUUGUUUGUAGUACUAAUCAAACUCAACUUAUCCAUAUAUAGAACUCAUCAAAUGGUGACUUGAGGAAGGAGAAAUUCGAUCGACACCCAAUCUGAACCGGCGGAGUUUUGGAGCUCGAUUUAUCCCUCACGGUGGUGCCACUCGAUGCACCACCUGUCCAGCAAUGAAGUAGAGAUGACGGCGAAACUUUUGGGACAAGUGUGGCGGUCUCCGGUGGCUUGACGGCGGAGCUAGGCCGAGAAGAAAUUCUGGCAGGCGAAAUAGACUUCUUACCAUCCACCUUCGGUAAAACUCCUAUAUAAAGAAUUUUAGCUGACGAAAUUCUUUAUUUUCGUCGGCUAAACUCUUUUAAAAAUUUUGAAAAUUUUGAAAAUUUUGGUUGACCGCCAAAAAAUUUUGGUUGAAAAUUUUGAAAUUUUUUCGACUUUAGCCGACGACUUUUCAUAUAUUUUCGUCGGCUAAAGUCCUUUGAAAAUUUUCCUCCAAAUUUGGUUUACAGCCCAAAAAUUUUUGACCUUAGCCGACGACUUUUUUAAUAUCUCAUCGGUUAAAGUCUAUAAAUUCACGAAAAUGCUCAUAUCUCUCUCUAUAUUACGUAGUUUGGUCAAACCUUCCACACGAAAAACUUUCACGUAGAUGAGACGCAACUGCCUAAACAGGUCAAUUGAAUCAAAAUNNNNNNNNNNNNNNNNNNNN